rnacentral:rRNA from 1 species
AGUGAACGCUGGCGGUAGGCCUAACACAUGCAAGUCGAACGGUAGCACAGUAAGAGCUUGCUCUUACGGGUGGCGAGUGGCGGACGGGUGAGGAAUACAUCGGAAUCUACUUUUUCGUGGGGGAUAACGUAGGGAAACUUACGCUAAUACCGCAUACGACCUACGGGUGAAAGCAGGGGAUCUUCGGACCUUGCGCGAUUGAAUGAGCCGAUGUCGGAUUAGCUAGUUGGCGGGGUAAAGGCCCACCAAGGCGACGAUCCGUAGCUGGUCUGAGAGGAUGAUCAGCCACACUGGAACUGAGACACGGUCCAGACUCCUACGGGAGGCAGCAGUGGGGAAUAUUGGACAAUGGGCGCAAGCCUGAUCCAGCCAUACCGCGUAGGUGAAGAAGGCCUUCGGGUUGUAAAGCCCUUUUGUUGGGAAAGAAAAGCAGCAGGUUAAUACCCCGCUGUUCUGACGGUACCCAAAGAAUAAGCACGGGCUAACUUCGUG